GUUAAUAAUAUCAGCCCAA
rnacentral:snRNA from 1 species